ACAGAACUCGAAGCAAAUGCUGCCAUAGUCUCUGGACAAAGUGAGCCCAAAGAGAUAGUUGAGAAGUCUAAAACCCCAAGCCGGAGAAACUCCCGAACUGAAGAUCCAACUGUGUCUUCUGAAAGUGUGGAAAAUGGACAUCGUAAACGAUCCUCUCGACCUGCGUCAGCCUCCAGCUCUACUAAAGACAUAACCAGUGCAGUGCAAUCCAAGCGAAGAAAGUCCAAGUAAACAAGCUGGAUGGCAACUGGAUACUUGUAAAUGUGUGUGAAUUUUACAAAGAGCAAUUUUGAGCUGUGACUUUUUAAAAUCCAUUUCUGUACAGUUAUUCAUUUUAACAAUGUGGCCCUUUCCCUAGUCCCUGCAACCUGUUUCGUAAAACGUAAUGGGGAAGGCAGGGUUGUUGAGCCCUUUGGGUGUUGCGAGUUGAAAUUCAAGGUUUUUAAAAUGCUGUAAUGUAUUGAGAGGAGCUAAUGCCAUUAUAAAUGUUAUUAGUUUUCACAUUUCCUAGGCAGCCUAGAGUACAGGGUGAGCAUUUUUUAGAUCUUCUCAUGAUGUAUUGUGCUGUGGAAGUACUGUGUGUGAAUAGCAGUAGUGGGGCAAAAGCAAUCUCAUUCGGAAAUGUAAAUAAUUUUGUUAUAUAGUGUUUUGGAUGUAUUUGUUGUAGAAAUGGACCAGUGAAUAAAGAGAAUCUAAGGGUUUGUACAAUGUGAAAUACUGAAUGUGUUAAAUAAAUGUCAUUGUCGUAGAACAUA